AGAAGGCCACAACCUCUAUCCGCCCGGGAACUACGAGCAUAAGCUUAAAACCCAAAGGACUUGGCGGUGCUUUAGACCCCCCUAGAGGAGCCUGUUCUAGAACCGAUAAUCCCCGUUCAACCUCACCUUUUCUUGCUCGUCCCGCCUAUAUACCGCCGUCGUCAGCCUACCCUGUGAAGGAACCAAAGUAGGCAAAAUUGGUAAAGCCCAAAACGUCAGGUCGAGGUGUAGCAUACGAAAAGGAAAGAAAUGGGCUACAUUUCCUCUAUCAGGAAACACGAAUUGUGCUAUGAAACAACACAUGAAGGAGGAUUUAGCAGUAAGCAGAAAUCAGAGCGUUC
rnacentral:rRNA from 1 species